rnacentral:tRNA from 1 species
CUAGAUAGGAAGACCUCGAUCCAACAAACUCU